UCUCCUCGACCGACCCCACCCCUGCCCGUCUCGCAACCCACGGGCGACUCCAUCCCCGACGAGGAAGCUCACCACGGCUACCUCCGUCAUGAACCUGCUCCGCACCACAUCUCCGCCAUGCCUACAGUUGCUCCACGUCGCUGGUGCGACGUCCCGCCCCCGUCUACUCCACCCGACUGCGUAACCCCAUCUCCGCCGCGAGCCCCAGCCAGAUCCUGCUCCGCCUCCAUCCCUCCUGCCGCACCGGUGUGGCUUUUUGGGACGGCAAAGAAGCUACACGCACAUCCCUUAUGUGGUCCCCUGUGAGAUGGACAUGGCCCUGGUUGAUGUUGGGCAUGGUGUGCAUCAUGAGAUUGAGCAUCUUAUGUCUUGUGUUCUUGUCAUCAACAUGGAAGCAAACUAGCAAGGACCACACUUGGUGGCCACAGGUCAAUAACGUCGGCCACUCAAUGGUGCUACCCUCUCUGCUCCUUGCCUGAUCUCUCUGUAGUUCACCGGCAGUGACAUCCGUAGAUUUGUGGAAGAAAAGGAUGCAUCAAAGCAUGGUUUGUAGCGUUGGAAACAUGACUUGCUUAUGAUAGAAGCAAAUUGAGCAGAUUUGUAUUACUUGGAAACACGUCCCUAUUGUUCUUGAAGCAUGUGCACACAAGAUAAUGGUUCUUGUUUUAA